rnacentral:rRNA from 1 species
UAUCAAUAAGCGGAGGAAAAGAAACUAACAAGGAUUCCCCUAGUAACUGCGAGUGAAGCGGGAAAAAGCUCAAAUUUAAAAUCUGGCGGUCUUUGGCCGUCCGAGUUGUAGUCUGGAGAAGCGUCUUCCGCGCUGGACCGUGUACAAGUCUCUUGGAACAGAGCGUCAUAGAGGGUGAGAAUCCCGUCUUUGACACGGACUACCAGUGCUUUGUGAUGCGCUCUCAAAGAGUCGCGUUGUUUGGGAAUGCAGCGCAAAAUGGGAGGUGAAUUCCUUCUAAAGCUAAAUAUUGGCGAGAGACCGAUAGCGAACAAGUACCGUGAGGGAAAGAUGAAAAGCACUUUGGAAAGAGAGUUAAACAGUACGUGAAAUUGCUGAAAGGGAAACGCUUGAAGUCAGUCGCGUCGUCCGGAACUCAGCCUUGCUUCGGCUUGGUGCACUUUCCGGUUGACGGGCCAGCAUCGAUUUUGACCGCUGGAAAAGGGCUGGAGGAAUGUGGCACCUUCGGGUGUGUUAUAGCCUUCAGUCGCAUACAGCGGUUGGGAUCGAGGAACGCAGCGCGCCUUAUGGCUGGGGUUCGCCCACAUUCGCGCUUAGGAUGCUGGCAUAAUGGCUUUAAACGACCCGUCUUGAAAC